AGUGGACGCUGGCGGUAGGCCUAACACAUGCAAGUCGAACGGCAGCACAGUAAGAGCUUGCUCUUACGGGUGGCGAGUGGCGGACGGGUGAGGAAUACAUCGGAAUCUACUUUUUCGUGGGGGAUAACGUAGGGAAACUUACGCCAAUACCGCAUACGACCUACGGGUGAAAGCAUGGGAUCUUCGGACCUUGCGCGAUUGAAUGAGCCGAUGUCGGAUUAGCUAGUUGGCGGGGUAAAGGCCCACCAAGGCGACGUUCCGUAGCUGGUCUGAGGGGAUGGUCCGCCACACUGGAACUGAGCCACGACCCAGACUCCUACGGGAGGCAGCGGUGGGGAAGAUUGGACAAUGGGCGCAAGCCUGAUCCAGCCAUACCGCGUGGGUGAAGAAGGCCUUCGGGUUGUAAAGCCCUUUGUUGGGAAAGAAAAGCAGCAGGUUAAUACCCCGCUGUUCUGACGGUACCCAAAGAAUAAGCACCGGCUAACUUCGUG
rnacentral:rRNA from 1 species